rnacentral:tRNA from 1 species
UGCCUUAAUAGUUUAAUUAAAACAUCAGCCUUGU